AGAGCAGUCGAUGUUUGCGGGUGCAUCAUCUUCAAGAUUCACAUAAAUUGCGUCGUCAAGCUAUGAUUCCAAAUGAGAAUCUUGAUGAUGCUGCAUCGGCAAUAAGCGACUAAUC
rnacentral:pre_miRNA from 15 species